rnacentral:rRNA from 1 species
GAAGUUGGAGUCGCUAGUAAUCGCAGAUCAGCAACGCUGCGGUGAAUACGUUCCCGGGCCUUGUACACACCGCCCAUCACGUCAUGAAAGUCGGUAACACCCGAAGCCGGUGGCCUAACCCCUCGUGGGAGGGGGCCGUCGAAGGUGGGAUCGGCGAUUGGGACGAAGUCGUAACAAGGUAGCCGUACCGGAAGGUGCGGCUGGAUCACCUCCUUU